UCUAGCUCACAGACCUGCCCGGUGAAUAGAGCUUUGUUUUUUUGAUGGGCUUGUGAUGACUUUGAGAUCAAUUGCUCAUUCAUUACAGUAAAAAAAAAAAAAAUUGUUUUGAACAUGACAGCAAAAAUAACUUUAAGCACAACUUAAUAAUAAUAGAUCACCAAUUUUAGUUAAUAAUUUUAUGCUAUACUCUUGGGUGAGGGAAGACUCGGACACUCAAUAUGAGAUCAGCAAGCUAUGUUUAUUGCAGAGAGUAUCAGACACUUAUACAGCACAUAAUAAGCUUAUGAAUAUUCUGUAAGCCAAGCGAUCUAUUGGUUAAACUAUACCAUCAACUCUUCCUCAUUCCUUUGGGCCUACAUUCCCUAUUUCCCACGUCUCUCUGUCUACUUGUUAUCCUACCCAGCUAGGCCCAGGCACACGCUAUCUUGCAGGUGCAAAACUCAAAAAUACCUGUGUUCGGUACUUUCCCAGCUCCUGGUCGGCUAACGAGCGAAUGUCUGCGUGACCUCUGUCAUGGAGCCAUUUCUCCACACUAUACUAUCAAAGUUUAAAGGGAUCAGUGAAUUUUAACUCUGGAGUCCUCUAUGCUAAGGAUGCUCAGCUUACAGAUGAUGAAAUGUUCAGUAAUGUAUUUGUUGCAGCUCUGCUUACCCAAGGUUUGGGUAAAACAAGCUUUGGGUUCCCUCUGUCUCACUGGGAGUUGCCCAAUUCAGUUCCAUCUGGUGAAAUUCACCCUGAGACCUUACAGAACUAGCUCCAACUACGUGAGAGCCAUUUGCAGUUCUCUCCAGACGCCUGGAGAAUGGGCGACGUUUCUGAGGAUCCGGCGAGCGUGCUUCUAUCAAAACUCAGUCUGUGAAAUUCCUGGGGAAAACCCUUCUGUGUCCUGAAGGGUUCAAACUCUGGAUUUUUUGUCUUUGCAAAAUAUUGUGCAUUUCACUCUUUGGAACCUCUCAGAUGGUUCUUUGGUGCAGCACCACCCCAUGGGACACUUGGCUGCUGUCCUGAAGGGUUUGGUCGCUAGAAUUGUGAAUCCUGGAGAGUUUAUAAGUCUUCUGUCCCCAGGGAGGUAUCAUGCUUGGUUUACUUUUGUUCUGUUGGUUAGGCGCUGCUUCUCGUUGCAAGUACGAAUUUCAAACUGCCCUGUUCUCUUUUUAACUGUUUUCCUGGUUCUCUCCGUCCGGCAGGGAAAGACUCUCGUAUCCUUGUCGUCGGGCUCGGUGCUGUCCAAGAAGAUACAGAGACUAAAAAAAUCAUAAGAAGGAAAAUAUGACUGCAGGGAAAAGAAGCUGGAGAGAACAGAAGACUCAUCACGGCGGGACAGCGUGAAGACUGAAAGUGUAAGAAGAUGUGGAGGGAAACAGAGAAUCUGACAGGAGCAGCGAACGCACGAGUGCACGAAUUUUGCUUUUUUGCUUGGAUGUAAACUCAGGCGUUGAAAGGAAUUUGGGAGUGAGAAGGGACAUUUCAGAAGGAGAAGAAGCAAAAGAAGUUGUUGUUGUUGUUACAGUCCUGGCAAAAUCUUUUGUUCUAGCUAAUAAAAGAAGUUAGUUUAAAAAACAA